UACGUAGGGCGCAAGCGUUAUCCGGAAUUAUUGGGCGUAAAGGGCUCGUAGGCGGUUUGUCGCGUCGGGAGUGAAAUCCACUGGCUUAACUGGUGGCUUGCUUUCGAUACGGGCAGACUGGAGGUAUGCAGGGGAGAACGGAAUUCCUGGUGUAGCGGUGAAAUGCGCAGAUAUCAGGAGGAACAUCCGUGGCGAAGGCGGCUCUCUGGGACGGUACUGACGCUGAGACGCGAAAGCGUGGGGAGCGAACAGG
rnacentral:rRNA from 1 species